rnacentral:rRNA from 1 species
GAUGAACGCUGGCGGCGUGCCUAAUACAUGCAAGUCGAGCGAACAGACGAGAAGCUUGCUCCUCUGACGUUAGCGGCGGACGGGUGAGUAACACGUGGAUAACCUACCUAUAAGACUGGGAUAACUUCGGGAAACCGGAGCUAAUACCGGAUAAUAUUUUGAACCGCAUGGUUCAAUAGUGAAAGACGGUCUUGCUGUCACUUAUAGAUGGAUCCGCGCCGCAUUAGCUAGUUGGUAAGGUAACGGCUUACCAAGGCAACGAUGCGUAGCCGACCUGAGAGGGUGAUCGGCCACACUGGAACUGAGACACGGUCCAGACUCCUACGGGAGGCAGCAGUAGGGAAUCUUCCGCAAUGGGCGAAAGCCUGACGGAGCAACGCCGCGUGAGUGAUGAAGGUCUUCGGAUCGUAAAACUCUGUUAUUAGGGAAGAACAAAUGUGUAAGUAACUGUGCACGUCUUGACGGUACCUAAUCAGAAAGCCACGGCUAACUACGUG